UUUUGUACCUUUUGUAUCAGGGUUGAUUAAAAUUUAUUUAAUGAUUUUAAAUAUCUCGAAAAUAAGGGAGCUAAAUUUAUAUUAUUUUUUUUGUAGCAAUAAAAUUAUAAAUAUAGAUUUAGAAAUUAAAUGUUAAACGAACUUAUUAAUAUCUAGUUUUUUUAGAAAUAAAUUUAAUUUAGAUAUAAUUAUUUUAGUAAAUUAAAUUUUAUUUUAAUUUAUUAAUUUUUAUAUUAAAAAUUUAUGGGAUAAUCUAUAAAUUUAAGAUAAAAAUUUAAUUUUAAUUUUUAAUGUUAUAGAGAUAAUAUUUUUCUUUAAUUUUAAUAAUUUAAUAAUUUAAUAUUUAUAAAUUAAUAAUGAUUUAAAUUUAUAUUUUAUUUUUCUAUAAAAAUUUAUAUUUUAAUUAAUAAAAUAUAGAAAUAAUGAUUAGAUUAGUAAUAAAGUUAUAUUUUAUAAUGAUAUUUUGUAUUAUAUAAUUUAAAGGAAUUCGGCAAAUAUAUUAUUCACCUGUUUAUCAAAAACAUGUCCUGUUGAUUAUAAUUUUAGGUCGAUCUGCUCAAUGAAUUAUUUUAAAUAGCUGCAGUAUGUUGACUGUACAAAGGUAGCAUAAUAAAUUGUCUUUUAAUUGAAGAAUUGUAUGAAAGAAUUAAUGAAAUAAUAACUGUCUCUAAAUUAUUAAAUGAAUUUAAAUUUUUAGUUAAAAUUCUAAAAUUUAAUUAUGGGACGAUAAGACCCUAUAGAAUUUAAUUUAAUUUUUAAAUUUAUUUAUAAUUUUAAUAAAUAUAUUUAAGAUUAAAUUUGAUUGGGAGGAUUGGUAAAUUUAAUAAACUUUAUUUAAGAUUUAAUUUUGAUAUAAAGAUAAUUUUUUGAAUUAUAAAUUGUAAUUAAAAGAAUAAAUUACCUUAGGGAUAACAGCGUGAUAUCUGUUGAUAGAUCAUAUUGAUAAA
rnacentral:rRNA from 1 species